AGCAGCCGCGGUAAUUCCAGCUCCAAUAGCGUAUAUUAAAGUUGUUGCAGUUAAAAAGCUCGUAGUUGAAUUUCGGGAUCAGUACGCUGGUCGUGCCUUGUGUAUGUACUGGUGUCACUGGUUCCUACCUUCUGACGAACCGUCAUGUCAUUAAUUUGGUGUGGCGGGGAAUCAGGACUGUUACUUUGAAAAAUUAGAGUGUUUAAAGCAGGCUCGCGCUUGAAUACAUUAGCAUGGAAUAAUGAAAUAGGACGUUCGAUCCUAUUUUGUUGGUUUCUAGGAUUGACGUAAUGAUUAAUAGGGAUAGUUGGGGGCAUUAGUAUUCAAUUGUCAGAGGUGAAAUUCUUGGAUUUAUUGAAGACUAACUACUGCGAAAGCAUUUGCCAAGGAUGUUUUCAUUAAUCAAGAACGAAAGUUAGGGGAUCGAAGACGAUCAGAUACCGUCGUAGUCUUAACCAUAAACUAUGC
rnacentral:sRNA from 1 species